rnacentral:rRNA from 1 species
UACGUAGGGUGCGAGCGUUAAUCGGAAUUACUGGGCGUAAAGCGCGCGCAGGCGGCGCGUUAAGACAGGUGUGAAAGCCCCGAGCUUAACUUGGGAAUUGCGCUUGUGACUGGCGUGCUGGAGUGUGGCAGAGGGAGGUGGAAUUCCACGUGUAGCAGUGAAAUGCGUAGAGAUGUGGAGGAACACCGAUGGCGAAGGCAGCCUCCUGGGCCAGCACUGACGCUCAUGCACGAAAGCGUGGGGAGCAAACAGG